ACCACCGGUUUAAUAUCCUGCCGCCUCUGAAGACCAAAUUGUUUGUUCGCCCGUGAUUGAAAAAGGGUUCAACGCUGCGGAAUUCGAGAGAUCUUCGAAGGUUAGGUUAAGAUUAGGAUCUAUGUUGGCAUUCAUGCGCUAAGAAUGUGGAAUCCGUUUGUUGCUUUCCAAAUUUAUUGUAUUUUUACUUUUUCGACUCUGUCACUAUACGAUCUGUUCCUUAGCUAUCCAUGGGCAGUUCAUAUGCCACUUAGAUUGCUAUAGCGGUAUCUUGUUUUUCAUUUCUUCAAAUUCCACAGCUUCAACUACAUGUUCUUAAAUAAGCUUGUCUUUUUUUUCCAUAUGGACUCGGAUAUCAAAUACGGCAAACAGGGUUGCAAUGGAAAUCAUAAGUCAUUGGCUUCAUGGCUAUUUUAUGGCGGC
rnacentral:sRNA from 1 species